rnacentral:rRNA from 1 species
UACGAAGGGUGCAAGCGUUAAUCGGAAUUACUGGGCGUAAAGCGUGCGUAGGCGGUUUGUUAAGUCUGUUGUGAAAGCCCUGGGCUCAACCUGGGAAUGGCAAUGGAAACUGGCGAGCUAGAGUCAGGUAGAGGGUGGUGGAAUUCCCGGUGUAGCGGUGAAAUGCGUAGAGAUCGGGAGGAACAUCUGUGGCGAAGGCGGCCACCUGGACCAUGACUGACGCUGAGGCACGAAAGCGUGGGGAGCAAACAGGGA